rnacentral:tRNA from 1 species
UGGGGUAUCGCCAAGCGGUAAGGCACCGGUUUUUGAUACCGGCAUUCCCUGGUUCGUAUCCAGGUACACCAGCCA